UUCUGAUAAAUACUGGAUAAGUUAGUAGUAGCAUUACUAAGUAAUGAAAGGGUAGUAAUACGCUAUAUGAGAGCUUUGCAUCCUAUUAGCUAGUUGGUGGGGUAAAAAGCCUACCAAGGCGACAAUAGGUAGCCGGCCUGAGAGGGUGGACGGCCACAAGGGGACUGAGAUACGGCCCUUACUCCUACGGGGAGGCAGCAGUGGGGAAUAUUGGACAAUGGAGGCAACUCUGAUCCAGCAAUUCUGUGUGUGUGAAGAAGGUUUUAGGACUGUAAAACACUUUUAGUAGGGGAAGAAAGAAAUGACGGUACCUACAGAAGAAGCGACGGCUAAAUACGUGCCAGCAGCCGCGGUAAAU
rnacentral:rRNA from 1 species